GAUGAAGAACGUAGCGAAAUGCGAUAAGUAAUGUGAAUUGCAGAAUUCAGUGAAUCAUCGAAUCUUGGAACGCACAUUGCGCCCGCCAGUAUUCUGGCGGGCAUGCCUGUUCGAGCGUCAUUUCAACCAUCAAGCCCUGCUUGCGUUGGGGUCCUGCGGCUGCCCGCAGGCCCUGAAAACCAGUGGCGGGCUCGCUAGUCACACCGAGCGCAGUAAUACAUCUCGCUUUGGGCGUGCGGCGGGUUCUUGCCGUUAAACACCCCCUUUUUACCAAGGUUGACCUCGGAUCAGGUAGGAAUACCCGCUGAACUUAAGCAUAUCAAUAAGCGGAGGA
rnacentral:misc_RNA from 1 species